rnacentral:sRNA from 1 species
GGAGGGUGUGACUAGUGACAGAGUGAGGGAGGGAAGGGUGACUAGUGAGAGUGAGGGAGGUGGUGAUUAGUGACAGAGGGAGGAAUGGGGUGACUAUCACUGUGUCACCCCCUUCCUCACUCUGUCACUAGUCACCCACUCCCUCCCUCACUCGGUCACUAGUCACCCCCUCUCUCACUCUGUCACCAGUCAUUCCCUCACUCUGUCACCAAUUAUCCCUUCCUUCCCUCACUCUGCCACUAGUCAUCCCUUCCCUCAC